AACGAACGCUGGCGGCAGGCUUAACACAUGCAAGUCGAGCGCCCCGCAAGGGGAGCGGCAGACGGGUGAGUAACGCGUGGGAAUCUACCCAUCUCUACGGAAUAACGCAUGGAAACGUGUGCUAAUACCGUAUACGGCCUUCGGGAGAAAGAUUUAUCGGAGAUGGAUGAGCCCGCGUUGGAUUAGCUAAUUGGUGGGGUAAAGGCCUACCAAGGCGACGAUCCAUAGCUGGUCUGAGAGGAUGAGCAGCCACACUGGGACUGAGACACGGCCCAGACUCCUACGAGAGGCAGCAGUGGGGAAUAUUGGACAAUGGGCGCAAGCCUGAUCCAGCCAUGCCGCGUGAGUGAUGAAGGCCCUAGGGUUGUAAAGCUCUUUCACCGGUGAAGAUAAUGACGGUAACCGGAGAAGAAGCCCCGGCUAACUUCGUGCCAGCCGCCGCAGUAAAAC
rnacentral:rRNA from 1 species